CCCAACUAUUCAGCAGAGAAUGAGGUAAGCUCAUAUGGCCGCAAUUUGCGGCUUUUGGGUUGUAGGGGUUAGAAGUAGUCAGAGGUUCAAGAGCAAGUCCCUUAACAUCUGUGAGCUUAAAUCGAGUAGCAAGGGAUUUCAGUUCAUAUGACCUUGUGGUUAGUUAUGAAACAAUAUCCGAAAGUGUAACAAGUGGAAAGGUACCAGAAUCCAAAGGAAGUGGCCACAUUGACUAGAGUUUCAGUGGAAUUCACCAUAGAAGAUAAUUCAUGAACGUCAGCACUGAUUGCAUCCUAAGACAAUAUGAACACAAGGAAGAAAAACGUCUGGAGGAAGCUACAGGGAAACUCAAUUCUGAGUGAAAAUGUCACCUGUUCCAGUUACAUCUCGCCCGUCUGCCAGGGAUGACAAUGUUUCCAACAGCACAACACACAUCCCUCCAGGAAAAUGGCCUUUAGAAUAAAUGCAUCUUUUAUGUAAGGCUUCAGAAUUUGGAACAGAGAAAUUGGAAUGUGGUGUGUCUUCACUGCGGAACAUGGAUUCACUGGAUUCACUGAGCCCAAAACUGGGCUACCUACAUUCAAUGCAUUUGGGAUGUCGUUCAAUUAAAAAAGUGCGUCAUUUUAUUUUAGAGUU